UUCUUUGGCACUGAGUACUCUAGUGAUGGCGCAAACCAAGCGUCAUACAGAAACAACCUUAAAAGGGAAUGAGGUUUCUGUAUCACGCGUUUAUUAAAGUGCCAACACAGGACAGGAAGCAGAAGUAGAGUAUUGAGUGCCAAAGAAAUCUUAGCGGCGGACGGGUGAGUAACACGUGGGCAACCUGCCUCAAAGAGGGGGAUAACACCGGGAAAUCGGUGCUAAUACCGCAUAAAGUCAUAUUACUGCAUGGUGAUAUGAUCAAAGGAGCAAUCCGCUUUGAGAUGGGCCCGCGGCUGAUUAGCUAGUUGGUGAGGUAACGGCUCACCAAGGCGACGAUCAGUAGCCGACCUGAGAGGGUGACCGGCCACACUGGAACUGAGACACGGUCCAGACUCCUACGGGAGGCAGCAGUGGGGAAUAUUGCGCAAUGGGGGAAACCCUGACGCAGCAACGCCGCGUGGAGGAAGAAGGUCUUCGGAUUGUAAACUCCUGUCUUCCGGGACGAUAAUGACGGUACCGGAGGAGGAAGCCACGGCUAACUACGUGCCAGCAGCCGCGGUAAUACGUAGGUGGCGAGCGUUGUCCGGAAUUACUGGGCGUAAAGGGCGCGUAGGCGGCUCUUUAAGUUAGAUGUGAAAACCCAGGGCUUAACUCUGGGAGUGCAUUUAAAACUGAAGGGCUCGAGUGCAGGAGAGGUAAGUGGAAUUCCUAGUGUAGCGGUGAAAUGCGUAGAUAUUAGGAGGAACACCAGUGGCGAAGGCGACUUACUGGACUGUAACUGACGCUGAGGCGCGAAAGCGUGGGGAGCAAACAGGAUUAGAUACCCUGGUAGUCCACGCUGUAAACGAUGGAUACUAGGUGUGGGAGGUAUCGACCCCUUCCGUGCCGCAGUAAACGCAAUAAGUAUCCCGCCUGGGGAGUACGGCCGCAAGGUUGAAACUCAAAGGAAUUGACGGGGGCCCGCACAAGCAGCGGAGCAUGUGGUUUAAUUCGAAGCAACGCGAAGAACCUUACCAGGACUUGACAUCGUGUGAAUUACCCGUAAUGGGGGAAGUCCUUCGGGACAGAUAGACAGGUGGUGCAUGGUUGUCGUCAGCUCGUGUCGUGAGAUGUUGGGUUAAGUCCCGCAUCGAGCGCAACCCCUAUUGCUAGUUGCCAUCAUUAAGUUGGGCACUCUAGUGAGACUGCCGGAGACAAUUCGGAGGAAGGUGGGGAUGACGUCAAAUCAUCAUGCCCCUUAUGUUCUGGGCUACACACGUGCUACAAUGGGUGUAACAACGGGAAGCAAGCUGGUGACAGCAAGCCAAUCCCUGAAAAGCACG
rnacentral:rRNA from 1 species